GAUGAACGCUAGCGACAGGCUUAACACAUGCAAGUUCGAGGGGCAGCGAGGGUGUAGUAAUACAUUUGUCGGCGACCGGCGCACGGGUGAGUAACGCGUAUGCAACCUACCUUGUACAGGGGGUUAGCCCAUGGAAACGUGGAUUAACACCGCAUAAGAUUAUAGAUCGGCAUCGAUUCGUAAUUAAAUAUUUAUAGGUACAAGAUGGGCAUGCGUCCUAUUAGAUAGUUGGUGAGGUAACGGCUCACCAAGUCAACGAUAGGUAGGGGUUCUGAGAGGAAGGUCCCCCACAUUGGAACUGAGACACGGUCCAAACUCCUACGGGAGGCAGCAGUGAGGAAUAUUGGUCAAUGGACGAGAGUCUGAACCAGCCAAGUCGCGUGAAGGAAGACUGCCCUACGGGUUGUAAACUUCUUUUAUUUGGGAAGAAUAAGUGGUAUGUAUACCAUGAUGCCUGUACCAAAUGAAUAAGCAUCGGCUAACUCCGUGCCAGCAGCCGCGGUAAUAC
rnacentral:rRNA from 1 species